rnacentral:tRNA from 2 species
CGGGGUGUAGUAUAGCGGUAGUACGCGUGCUUUGGGAGCACGUAGUCUGGGUUCAACUCCCAGCACCCCGA